rnacentral:rRNA from 1 species
GACGAACGCUGGCGGCGUGCCUAAUACAUGCAAGUAGAACGCUGAGGGAGGAGCUUGCUCUUCUGGAUGAGUUGCGAACGGGUGAGUAACGCGUGGGUAACCUGCCUGGUAGCGGGGGAUAACUAUUGGAAACGAUAGCUAAUACCGCAUAACAGUAGAUGUUGCAUGACGUUGACUGAAAAGGUGCAAUGGCAUCGGUACCAGAUGGAGCUUCGUUGUAUUAGCUAGUUGGUGGGGUAACGGCUCACCAAGGCGACGAUACAGAGACGACUUGAGAGGGGGAUAGCCCGCCUUGGACUGAGACCCGGCCCAGACUCCCACGGGAGGCAGCAGUAGGGAAUCUUCGGCAAUGGACGGAAGUCUGACCGAGCAACGCCGCGUGCGUGAAGAAGGUUUUCGGAUCGUAAAGCUCUGUUGUAAGGGAAGAAAGCGUUUGCGAGUGGAAAGUUCGCACUGUGACGGUAUCUUACCAGAAAGCGACGGCUAACUACGUG